GGUGGUUGAUGGUGGUGCAUGGUCAGGGGAGUGCGAGCUGUGGCUCCGGGUGUUCUCAGGAGGAACGGGCAGGAUGGAAGUGGAGCCAGAGGCAGUGUGGUCUUGGAGAUGACCAAUCUAUUGAAGAGAGUUGGCUGUUGAAAUCACCUACAUUGAUUAAGUUUCUGGCACCACUAUAUUUGCUGCAAGUCCUGGGAACAGUGUCUAGAAGAUGUCUACUCAGAGAACACACAUCACAGACAACAAAAUAGGCUUUUUGUCUCAAAAUUUAAGUGCAAUGAAGAUGUGGAAAUCAAGGUUUGUGUGAGGGGACGAUGAAGGUGGGGAGUUCUGACAGAGGCUGGGAGAUGACCUUCUGAAUGGCCAAGUGGAUGACCUCCAAGGGAGUUAUCUAAGCAGGAGAAAAAAAAUGAUAUUUUGUAAGCACGGUAUUGCCAAAAUAUGUAUUGGAAAAUAUUUACUCAUUGAAGCAAAUUCAAAUAGAAAUUACAUGCUGCUGAAAAGAAAUGUAACUUGAAAGGGAGAAACCUUACUCUCCCGAUAGCAAAUGAAGAAUACUUCUCAUCAGAUCCUGAUGGGUGUAAAAAGAAAAAAACAAACCUCAUUUAUUCAACUCUAUGGUGUCUCUCUUGAAAUCUGGCACUCAUUAGCGAGACUGGCUGUCUGGGAAAGCCCCUCCAUCCUGCAAUCUGUGCUCCCUAACUCCAGGAUUACAGUUCUUCAUCUCAUCUUCUGGAAGCAUGAGGAAUUUAAGACUGGACAUAUGAGCAUCUGACAAGAUGGAGGACAGAGAGGAGGAAAAGUUGCAAGGGGGCAACCACUGAAAGGAGUGACUACCCACCCAUCAAGAGCUGGCAAUUCGCUGCUAUUAACCGUGACUGUGAUUCCCAGUCUGCCUGGCAGUUCCUGAGAACAGGCCUGCAACGUCUCAUAUGCAGUAAAAGCUAUAAGAUGCACCCUGGCCGGCCCACAUGACCUGAUGGAUGUACAAUCCUUAGGAACAGUAAUGGAUUGAGCACACUUGCAACUGAAGCGGGGAGAGAAAGCCCAGACCCCCACAAGGGGCCUGCUGAUUUAACACUCACUUUACAUAUAAUUGAACUUUUCAUUUACCUGAAAGACUCAAGGUGGUUGGCGGGGAGAGAAAUGGAACAACCAUGAUUGAAGGGAAAAAGUCAAUAGAUACAAAAGGGUUCCUCUUAAAUCUAACCACAGCCCACAGUGUGCCUCUGGAUCCAUGAUGACAUAUCCAGUCCUUUCUGACUCAAGGAUGCCUGGUGAAAUAGGCCCUGCAGAAAAGCUUUGUGCGUUUGUUAGGAACCUAAUGCGCAGAGUGAACUGAAUCUGGCUAAUGGCAUUUCCAUAUGAAGGAAGGGAACAAGAGAAUUCUUUUAAUGAAACUCUGGUGGCUUUGGAUGCGUGGAGUGCAUUGAGCGUGCCUCGGUAGAAAAAGCACCUUCUGGAAAAAAGACACUCCUAGCCAUCAAUAGAGGGAGCUGUACCAAUAGAUAAAUGACCCACACAAUUAGCAGCUUGAAACACUCAUUUUUCCAUCCUUUGGAUGUAAGUCAACAAAAGUAAAAAACACACUGGCCCAACUGCUUCAAGGGAAACUGCACACUGACAUCUUCUGGACUGCUAGCUGGCACACACAAACAGAAGAGGUAACAAAGGUUCCCACCUGGUGUGAAUUUCAGUCAUCAGGGACUUAAGAGACAAAUGAAUAUCUGCAUCAAGCUUUUCUUUUUUUUUUAUUUGGAAGUAAUACACAUAUAAGUCCUGUGCUAUGCAAUUUUGUAAAUGCAUGGUCACAGAAUUGAUUAUGUGGGUUUUGAAUCUUUAAACUGUUAUUUGGGGUUCAAAUAAUCAAGCAUUCUAUUUGUGUAAGAGAAGUCAUGUUGAAAGCAGUUUGGUAUACGUAAAUUAGUGACAGUAGCCUAGUCAGUGGAAGUCACAAUUUUGUGACUGUCCUAAUGUAGUACAUGUAUACAUAAUGUAUACAUGCUGUCAGUCCGUCCAGGGGGGACCAAUCUCCACAUAACUGGUACGGAGGAAAGGGCACUAAGAAGUGGGGUUUGCUAACACAAAGUAAUAAGGCUAGCUUAUAUUUAUUUUUUUAAAGUACUGUUUUAAAAUACAUUGAAUAGAUGACCAAAAGAGAUACAUGCUUGGCUCAUGUAUGCUGUCAAAGUCAUCUUAUUCCCUGGCUAAGCCAGUUUCCCUGGACCAAUCUUGCUAAUGUUUUUCUACAGUGGUAUUUAUGUUCCUCAUUGAGGAUGAAAAGAAGGCCCAGAGUCUUUGUGGCAUCUAUUCACAAUGUCCAAAUGUUCUCAAGAACUGGACUUUCUUUCAACCCAGGGGGUCCUGAACAGUUUGUAAAUGGUAAAAGCCUCCAACCUUCUCAACAAUAACUGAAGGGCUGGCUGGCCAGCAACAUUGAAAGCCUCUACUUAAGUGAGAUAAACCUCCAAUGCAUCCAAAUCUCCAUGGGCAAUAUUGUGGCGAAUUGCACAGGAGGAAGAGAAUCCCCCUUUCCUUGGUUUUGUUUUCCACCAGAGGGUAGGACUUGCAGCUGACAUGGACAGCAUCCGUGCAGGAUGAGGACAUGUUUCAACCCUUUUGUACUGUUGUAUUUAUAUGGUUGCCUAUUCAAUCCAUUGCUAAAGCUUGUAACUCCAUUGUCCUACCCUAUAUCAACAACUGUUAAUACUAAACAAAACUUAAAACUCUGAUUUGUCAGUAUACAUGACAUACUUGAAAGAAAUUGUAUGAAACCUAACUCUUCAUACAAUGAAUAUACACAAUACGUAUCUUGUUAACUACAAAACUAAAAUUUGAGGAAUCUGUGCUAAUGAGCUGAAGGAAGUUUCAAUGAUUUAUUUUUCUAAAUAAUUCCAGCAGAACUUCCAAGCUCAGAAUUAGGCAAAAAUCUAGAAGUGUUGUCUUAUUGCAAGAGUUUGAACUCCUUAUUAGAGCAAGUUGGUACACAUUUUAAAAGCUCUUUCCAUUGCGUAGUCUUCAUUAACAUGUUCAGUUUAUGACAUUUAUUAUUUAAAAUAUUCCUUUCAUUGCUCUCUUUAGUAUCAUCAUCAGGACCAAAAAAAAAAAUUACCAGUGUUUAAAAAAAAAACUAAGAAAUGAGAGAAAUGUAUACAAAAACCUGGAGCAGAUUGUGUCAACAGUAUUUGGAUGCCUUUGAUUCGAGUUUCUAGAUUCUUGCAUCCAAAAAAUAAGGCAAGAAAAGUGAUGGGAUUUGAAGGUCUCCUUCAUUCCGGCUCAGUGGCCAUCCAACAUUUACCAUGUUGUCACAUUUGUGUGUGUGUGUGUGUGUGUGUGUGUGUGUGUGCACUCUUCUGCCUACCUACUUUAGUUGACGGGAUGAAUGAUAGAAAGAUGACCUAAAACCUCUUGGUGUAAAUAAAUUUUUCAUCAUACUGGUGCUCUAAGUGUGGUAAAGUCUCAUUCAUUUAUAUCUCAGUGAUUUAGAACUUUCAUAGUUGGGACACAGGA